CUUCCUCUUCCUUUCUUCUCCUUCCCUUUCUUUUCUUCCUCUUUCCUCUGUUCCGCACACCCCACUGAGUCGAAUCUCUCCUCUCCCCAUUUCUUCCUUCUCCUUUCUUCUGCAUGCUGUCACGCACACGGAGAUAUAGAGACCGAGAGAGGCGAUCGGAAGAUUGAGAGAAACUGAGACCCGUGAACCCUUGAGGCUUGUCGAACCCGAUCGGUGUGCUGGGUCGUCGCCGAUGUCCAGAGGAGUGACGAUGGUCGAACCAGGGGCGGAUUGCGGUCAACCUAGGCCCGAUUUCCGGUGGGUUGAUGGCUGGUCGCCUAUUGGUGUGAUUUCCGGUGAACCCAGUGAUAUUUUUCAGUGAUUUCUGAGGAAUUUCUAGUAGGCACGUGUCAUGAUUGGAGACUUCAACUUGUUCUCCAAUGUAGAGUUCAAGUAAAUAGAACAUGGGGAGUAUUCGAGUCAUGAGUCCUAUGCAGCCAAUGUGAGUAUUCUACUCACUGAGAAGUAUUAUUUUCAUAUAUGAUGAAUUGUAAAAUGAAUAGUGUUUUACAAACCUGAACCAACUGUAUGUUGAUUAUGAUUUGUUUUGGAUGCUUUGAGUACUUUUGAGUAUAUUGAAAUUAUGAUGAUGUUUUGAAAUAUGAAUAUAAUAUGCGAUUUUAGAGCGAGUAUAAGUUGGAAAUUUAAGUUAUGAAAAUUGUCUAAGAAAUGACAUGUAGAACUGUUUAUGUUUUAUAAAGAAAGCAUGUGUUAAGAGCAUGAUUAUGAAAUUAAAUGUAUAGUAUUUAAGCAUGAGCAUUGAGCAUGAAACAUGAACGCAUAAACAAACUAUUAGGGGGAUCUAUGCCCCAUAGGCAUGAACUAGAAGGGGGACAUACGCCCCAGGGGGAUAUACGCCCCAAACGCAUGAACUAGAAGGGGGACAUACGCCCCAGGGGGAUCUACGCCCCAAACGCAUGAACUAGUGGGGGAUAUAUGCCCUAGGGGGAUCUACGCCCCUUACGUAUGAACUAGUGGGUGGACAUACGCCCCAUCCGAACACACGCAUGAACUAUGGGGGGACCAACGCCCCAGGGGGAUUUACGCCCCAUACGAACGUACACAUGAAUUAGUAUUGGGAAAUUUACGCCCCUUAGGAAUAUACGCAUGAACUAGUAUUGGGGGACCAACGCCCCAUAGGAGCACAACCGAAACUUACAGAGCAUGUAUAGCAUUGUUUUCAUGAGUGUGAUGUUUUUAUACUAUGAGUAGUUUUGCUAGACGUAUUAGUAUGCAUAAGAGUCUCAAUGGAGAAGAACUUAUGUAUAUUUCUAUCGGAUGGUUGCAUGAUUUAAAUGCCAUUGUUUCCUAUAACGAAUCUUCUACGUAUAAUCUUAGCUGCCUAGUAUGUUAAAUGUUUUCUAUUAGUCGGUGUUUGCUAUAUCAGCUAUGUGAGUUUUCAAACAAAAGUUUAUAAGAUUGGUGGCUGUUAUAGUGCACGCAUGACUAGAAAAAGAAAAGUUGGUUCUUUGCGAAAACUCAGUGAAUAGUAUACUUCUGAGGUCUUAGUAUAUUUGUUUAUGCUAAGAUGGUGGGCUCAUGAUUCCACCUAUACGGAUGUGACAAACCCCCAAAACCGUAUAGAUGAUGUUCCUUUGGUUGCUCCGGUCGUAGUUGAUGGUGUUGUAGAAGUGUACUUGGGAUAUUAUGACUGAAGUUCUCCGUGACGGUCAUAAUUGUGGGACUAAGGGCGUCCUCUAUUUUAUAGGUUUGGUAUAUGUCUUGUGACGCUUGUGUCACAUAGUAUUUGUAAAGCCAUUAUUUUAUACGAUUAUUAUUUGGAUAAGCCUUAAACAGAUAGACAUUAUGGCUCUUUUUGUGUAGAUAUCAGUUUAUGUUUAUAGAUGUGACUUCUGCUGAU